UACCCAUCUGUUUUUCUAUGUCCGAUUAAUACACUGUAUGCACUAGCUGGGUGUGUGAACAUAUACCUGGAUCAGACUCAUUGUUCGUUGCUUACCAGCAAUCAACUGCCAUACCACCGCAUGCAAUUUAGUUCUGCUUUUUCUUUAUGAUUAUACUCUCCUAUCUGGUUGAAACAAUUUCCUUGUGAAUUAUAAUCAGUGAUAGGCCAAUAAAAGACCGUUCGUUGAUUACCACCAACGCGGGAUACCCCUUAAUGAAAUAUCUAUGCUCCUGAGGAAGCG